rnacentral:rRNA from 1 species
AAUGAACGUUGGCGGCGUGGAUUAGGCAUGCAAGUCGAGCGAGAACCCCGCAAGGGGGGACAGCGGCAAACGGCGUAGUAAGGCGUAGGUACGUGCCCCCGGGUCUGGGAUAGCCAAGGGAAACUUUGGGUAAUACCGGAUACUCUCGAGAGAGCAAAGGCGUGACUCCGCCUGGGGAGUGGCUUACGUGGUAUUAGCUUGUUGGUGAGGUAACGGCUCACCAAGGCAACGAUGCCUAGGGGGUGGGAGAGCACGACCCCCACGACUGGGACUGAGAUACUGCCCAGACACCUACGGGUGGCUGCAGUCGAGAAUCUUCGGCAAUGGGCGCAAGCCUGACCGAGCGACGCCGCGUGUGGGAUGAAGGCCCUUGGGUUGUAAACCACUGUCAGAGGGGAUGAAGUGCACGGGGGUACUCCCUCGUGUUUGACAUAGCCUCAGAGGAAGCACGGGCUAAGUUCGUGCCAGCCGCCGCCGUAA